AUUGAACGCUGGCGGCAGGCCUAACACAUGCAAGUCGAACGGUAACAGAAAGCAGCUUGCUGCUUUGCUGACGAGUGGCGGACGGGUGAGUAAUGUCUGGGAAACUGCCUGAUGGAGGGGGAUAACUACUGGAAACGGUAGCUAAUACCGCAUAACGUCGCAAGACCAAAGAGGGGGACCUUCGGGCCUCUGGCCAUCGGAUGUGCCCAGAUGGGAUUAGCUUGUUGGUGGGGUAACGGCUCACCAAGGCGACGAUCCCUAGCUGGUCUGAGAGGAUGACCAGCCACACUGGAACUGAGACACGGUCCAGACUCCUACGGGAGGCAGCAGUGGGGAAUAUUGCACAAUGGGCGCAAGCCUGAUGCAGCCAUGCCGCGUGUAUGAAGAAGGCCUUCGGGUUGUAAAGUACUUUCAGCGGGGAGGAAGGGAGUAAAGUUAAUACCUUUGCUCAUUGACGUUACCCGCAGAAGAAGCACCGGCUAACUCCGUG
rnacentral:rRNA from 1 species